rnacentral:lncRNA from 1 species
CUUGUGGAGCGACAAGGACAGCGGACAGCCCCCAGCCCCAGGCAGAUCGAGCCAGGAUCAUGAAGGGUGUUCCAUCAUGAAGCACGCAUCAUCAGUGCCACAAGGAGAGAGCAUGCAUCCCAAACCGCUAUUGCCUAUUAGCCCUUUGCAGCAACAUCUUGAAACGGAAUUUGCUCUAAAGCAUUUAAUCCCUCCGACAAUUCAUAUUCUUGCUCACUCCUUCCUCGACACGAAUUAACCUCAGAUAUUCUCCCAAGACCACUUAUAUGCCCCUAAUCGAUAUUUAAUAGCAUCCCGUUAGAAAAUAUGUUUCAUUUUAGUUUUGCACAAACAAACAUAUUGGAAAUAGUAGUAAACAAAUGACUUGGUCGAUCGCUCCUUGAGGAGCCACUUGGUAGUUAACACAAAUUCAUGCUUCAAAUCAGCCUGGACCUCCUUACUUUCUC